rnacentral:rRNA from 1 species
AUUGAACGCUGGCGGCAUGCCUUACACAUGCAAGUCGAACGGCAGCAUGGAGAGCUUGCUCUCUGAUGGCGAGUGGCGAACGGGUGAGUAAUGCAUCGGAACGUACCGUGUAAUGGGGGAUAACGUAGCGAAAGUUACGCUAAUACCGCAUACGACCUGAGGGUGAAAGCAGGGGAUCGCAAGACCUUGCGUUAUACGAGCGGCCGAUGUCAGAUUAGCUAGUUGGUGAGGUAAAGGCUCACCAAGGCGACGAUCUGUAGCGGGUCUGAGAGGAUGAGCGGCCACACUGGGACUGAGACACGGCCCAGACUCCUACGGGAGGCAGCAGUGGGGAAUUUUGGACAAUGGGGGCAACCCUGAUCCAGCCAUGCCGCGUGAGUGAAGAAGGCCUUCGGGUUGUAAAGCUCUUUCGGCCGGGAAGAAAUCGCACAGGCUAAUACUCUGUGUGGAUGACGGUACCGGCAUAAGAAGCACCGGCUAACUACGUGCCAGCCGCCGCGGUAA